rnacentral:rRNA from 1 species
GGGGAAUAUUGCACAAUGGGCGCAAGCCUGAUGCAGCGACGCCGCGUGCGGGAUGACGGCCUUCGGGUUGUAAACCGCUUUUGAUCGGGAGCAAGCCUUCGGGUGAGUGUACCUUUCGAAUAAGCACCGGCUAACUACGUGCCAGCAGCCGCGGUAAUACGUAGGGUGCAAGCGUUAUCCGGAAUUAUUGGGCGUAAAGGGCUCGUAGGCGGUUCGUCGCGUCCGGUGUGAAAGUCCAUCGCUUAACGGUGGAUCUGCGCCGGGUACGGGCGGGCUGGAGUGCGGUAGGGGAGACUGGAAUUCCCGGUGUAACGGUGGAAUGUGUAGAUAUCGGGAAGAACACCAAUGGCGAAGGCAGGUCUCUGGGCCGUCACUGACGCUGAGGAGCGAAAGCGUGGGGAGCGAACAGGAUUAGAUACCCUGGUAGUCCACGCCGUAAACGGUGGAUGCUGGAUGUGGGGACCAUUCCACGGUCUCCGUGUCGGAGCCAACGCGUUAAGCAUCCCGCCUGGGGAGUACGGCCGCAAGGCUAAAACUCAAAGAAAUUGACGGGGGCCCGCACAAGCGGCGGAGCAUGCGGAUUAAUUCGAUGCAACGCGAAGAACCUUACCUGGGCUUGACAUGUUCCCGACAGCCCCAGAGAUGGGGCCUCCCUUCGGGGCGGGUUCACAGGUGGUGCAUGGUCGUCGUCAGCUCGUGUCGUGAGAUGUUGGGUUAAGUCCCGCAACGAGCGCAACCCUCGCCCUGUGUUGCCAGCACGUCGUGGUGGGAACUCACGGGGGACCGCCGGGGUCAACUCGGAGGAAGGUGGGGAUGACGUCAGAUCAUCAUGCCCCUUACGUCCAGGGCUUCACGCAUGCUACAAUGGCCGGUACAACGGGAUGCGACACCGCGAGGUGGAGCGGAUCCCUUAAAACCGGUCUCAGUUCGGAUUGGAGUCUGCAACCCGACUCCAUGAAGGCGGAGUCGCUAGUAAUCGCGGAUCAGCAACGCCGCGGUGAAUGCGUUCCCG